rnacentral:lncRNA from 1 species
GGAGCGUGGCACUCACAUCACAACAGGCGUACAUUAGUCCAUUAUCGGACGUGACUGUAUAAUUGAUAUAUUUGUAAUUUCAAAGUAAAAAUGAUUCUCUGAAAACUUAAGAUACUGUGCAAAGGGAGGCAAAUCUAAUUUACCAAAAAGGUGCCAUAUCGCCAGCUGAUGGUGCUAUAUCAGCAGGUACUCUAUCAGCAGGUAAGUGAUCUAGACCGUACUGGUAUAUUUAUACAUCCCAUACAAUGCAAUAUUUCUAUAUGCAUACCCCAGUUAAAUGUUGGAAUACUCUUCAAUACAGUUAUAUAUUAUAAUUCUUUAAUAGAGGAAUUAAAGUUCG